UGGGGAAUAUUGCACAAUGGGCGCAAGCCUGAUGCAGCAACGCCGCGUGCGGGAUGACGGCCUGGUUGUAACGCUUCACCAGGGCGGAAUUUGACGGUACCUGGAGAAGAAGCACCGGCUAACUACGUGCCAG
rnacentral:rRNA from 1 species